UCAGUAACGGCGAGUGAACGGGGAGAAGCCCAGCGCUGAAUCUUUCGGUGUUACACCGUUGAGAAAUGUAGCGUAUAGGUAUGAUUUUCAGUUUGUGCUAUAUGUCCAAAGUCCCUUUGAUAGGGGCCACUUUCCUGAGAGGGUGCGAGACCUGUGCGGACAGUGGAGCAAGCUGUAUGAUUAUACCUUAGAGUCGGGUUGCUUGAAAGUGCAGCCUAAAGUGGGUGAUAAACUUCAUCUAAGGCUAAAUAUAGACGCGAAUUCGAUAGCAAACAAGUACUGUGAAGGAAAGUUGCAAAGAACUUUGAAGAGAGAGUUCAAGAGAACGUGAAAUCGCUGGAGUGGAACCGGAGAGAGUUGACGUAACCGGGUAACUAAGUUUCCUAAUGUCGCUUAAUUGUGGCUACAGGUGAUGUAUGUUGCCUAUGGUUGCGCUGACAGCACUGGCUGUGCGUUCUGACCCGUUUGUGUUGCCCACCGUCACCGGUGGUGUCUUGCUUACGGUUAGGUCUGUCAUGGCUAGUGUUUUAUCCUGCAUGCAGGGUGUCAGUGUGAAAGUCGACCACCUCUCCGACCCGUCUUGAAACACGGACCGAGGAGUGUAACUUGUACGCGAGUCAAAGGGUGGUAAAACCCUAAGGCGUAAUGAAAGUAAAGGUCGGUUAACCGGCUGACAUGGGAUCUGCUCUUCGGAGCAGCGCACCAUGGCCCUGUCUUGUCUGCAUGCAGAUGGGCAGCGGUAGAGCGUACAGGUUGCGACCCGAAAGAUGGUGAACUAUGCCUGAGCAGGACGAAGUCAGAGGAAACUCUGGUGGAAGUCCGUAUCGGUUCUGACGUGCAAAUCGAUCGAUAGACUUGGGUAUAGGGGCGAAAGACUAAUCGAAC
rnacentral:rRNA from 1 species